rnacentral:rRNA from 1 species
UAGAUACCAACGCUGAGCACUGCUAGUUGCACGUGAGAUGGAUUGUUGGCCUUGAAUGAGCCGGUAUUCUCGUCUUGCGGAGUGUGCCUUGAAUAAAACAGAGUGCUUAAAGCAGGUCAUUGCCUGAAUGUUAUAGCAUGGAACGAACAAUCGUGUACAUGUAUCGGCUGUGCCACGGCGAUGGGCCUUAGGUCUGUCGUUGUUCACGGCCGAUACGGCACCCACCAAAGUAUGGCUGUUGGUUCCAUAUACGGUGAUGAUUAAAAGGAGCGGUUGGGGGCAUUGGUAUUUGGCCGCGAGAGGUGAAAUUCUUAGACCGGCCAAGGACUAACAAAUGCAAAGGCAGUUGUCUAGACCGUUUCCGUUAAUCAAGAACGAAAGUGGGAGGUUCGAAGACGAUCAGAUACCGUCCUAGUUCCCACUGUAAACUAUGCCGACCUGGGAUCAGUCUAGAGAUGUUACAAGCUCUAGAUUGGUCCCCCUGGGAAACCUCAAGUUUUUCGGUUACGGGGAGAGUAUGGUCGCAAGGCUGAAACUUAAAGGAAUUGACGGAAGGGCACCACCAGGGGUG